rnacentral:rRNA from 1 species
UACGUAGGGGGCAAGCGUUGUCCGGAUUUAUUGGGCGUAAAGAGCGUGUAGGCGGUUUGGUAGGUCCGCUGUGAAAACUCGAGGCUCAACCUCGAGACGCCGGUGGAAACCAUCAGACUAGAGUCCGGAAGAGGAGAGUGGAAUUCCUGGUGUAGCGGUGAAAUGCACAGAUAUCAGGAAGAACACCCGUGGCUAAGGCGGCUCUCUAGUACGGUACUGACGCUGAGACGCGAAAGCGUGGGGAGCGAACAGG